UAGUCCACGCCGUAAACGAUGGAUACUAGCUGUUCGGUUUUCGGACUGAGUGGCUAAGCGAAAGUGAUAAGUAUCCCACCUGGGGAGUACGUUCGCAAGAAUGAAACUCAAAGGAAUUGACGGGGGGCCCGCACAAGCGGUGGAGCAUGUGGUUUAAUUCGAUGAUACGCGAGGAACCUUACCAGGGCUUAAAUGUAUAGUGACAGAGCUAGAGAUAGCUUUUUCUUCGGACACUUUACAAGGUGCUGCAUGGUUGUCGUCAGCUCGUGCCGUGAGGUGUCAGGUUAAGUCCUAUAACGAGCGCAACCCCUAUUGUUAGUUGCCAGCAUGUAAAGAUGGGAACUCUAACAAGACUGCCGGUGCAAACCGUGAGGAAGGUGGGGAUGGACGUCAAAUCAUCACGGCCCUUACGUCCUGGGCUACACACGUGCUACAAUGGCCGGUACAGAGAGCAGCCAGUGGGCAACCACGAGCGAAUCUAAUAAACCGGUCUCAGUUCGGAUCGG
rnacentral:rRNA from 1 species